rnacentral:rRNA from 1 species
GUCUACAGCCAUGCUACCCUGAACAAGCCCAAUCCCGUCUGAUCUCAGAAGCUAAGCAGGGUUGGGCCUGGUUUGUACUUGGAUGGGAGACCACCUAGGAAGACCAGGUACUAUAGACG